GAUGAACGCUGGCGGCGUGCCUAAUACAUGCAAGUCGAGCGGUAAGGCCUCUUCGGAGGUACACGAGCGGCGGACGGCUGAGUAACACGUAGGAACGUACCCCAAACUGAGGGAUAAGCACCAGAAAUGGUAGUCUAAUACCGCAUGUGCUCUAAGGAGUAAAGCUUCGGCGGUUUGGGAACGGCCUGCGCACGAUUAGAUUGUUGGUGAGGUAAUGGCUCGACCAAGUCGACGAUCGUUAGCUGGUCUGAGAGGAUGAUCAGCCAGACUGGGACUGAGAACGGCCCAGACUCCUACGGGAGGCAGCAGUAGGGAAUUUUCCACAAUGGACGAAAGUCUGAUGGAGCAACGCCGCGUGCAGGAUGAAUGCCUUAGGGUUGUAAACUGCUUUUAUAUGUGACGAGUAUGACGGUAGCAUAUGAAUAAGGAUCGGCUAACUCCGUGCCAGCAGCCGCGGUAAACUGUCUACG
rnacentral:rRNA from 1 species